rnacentral:lncRNA from 1 species
UUGUUGGCUUCCCUCCCCUCCUCUUCCAUUCUUUUCCUCCUCUUCUGUUUCUGUGUCUCUGUUUCUGCCAUUCUCUUUAUCUCUCUGUCUCUGUCUCCCUGUCUCUCUCCCUCCCUCCCUCCUCCCCUCCCCCAUCCCUCCUCUCCUUUCCCUGCCACAAAUUGGCUUUUGCCUAUUGUACAUACAGAGCUUUAGUCAUAAGUUAGAGGUAAUGAUCAUUAACCACAUGUUCCAAAUUACAGUAUCAGCUUUGCACAUUCCCCUGUGUAGCAAUCUGGUUUUCUAGCCAUAAGAGAAAGCCGUCGUCGUCACUAGUUUGCAGCAUGUUUGUAAGAAAAAUGAGCAACAGAAGUUCAAAUCAGGCGUCUUAGAGAGUGCAUGAACUGGGAGUGAUUGGAAGUUUCGUUUAAAUAGCAAAUAACAUGCUCCGUGUUCCAAUUUUUGUUGCUGUUGUCCACCACCUCCAUUUCUUUGGGGACUGUAACUCAUUUGAAGAGCUCUGGAGUGGAAAACCCAGGAGCAGACAAGAAUUCUCAGGGAUCUUUUCACUGAUCAUCCCUGUUCUUUCCCUCCAUCCUCCUUGUGGCCAGGAUCUCAUGUUUGUAAGACACCUGGUGAAGGCUUUAACAAGAAACCAGAACAAGCCCCAAUCACAGGAACUAUGGAAAAAAGCUCAAGUAAAGGUGGUAGUUGGACUCAUGGACGGAUUCUUCCUUCUUUCAGUUUCCAGAACACUUUAA